GUACCCUCCCUCUAUUCCGACGGGAUAAAUUCUUAUGUUAACACAUUCUAUUUAAAACCAAUGAAUUUAAAAUUCGAAUACAUUUUUUUUUUUUUAAAGAAUGUCCAAACUCUGCAUAAUAUUUAUCGUUAAUUUUCAGGUUAUAAGGUUUAUCGUUCAAGAUCUGAUCAAACGAAAAUUUAAGUAUUUUAAAUCUGCAUAACCAACAGCGGUGCCUGGGUUACUAUCAUCAACAGGCAAAAUACCAUUAUUUCAUAAACAAAUUAAAAAUUAAAUAAUUGACCAGUGUUUCAUCAUCGACAAGGAUGAUUUUAAUCGUGUCUGAAAAACCGGGAUUAUCUAGAUUAAUGAAUAUAUUCAUCUGUAAAGGAUACUAUUCUAUAGGAGUAAUCCAAGAAUUUUACAUUUUCAAGGUUUCGGUUGUGACUCCAU